GCCCGCGUGGCACAAUUGGUCAGCGCGUGAGACUUUUAGAGCAAUUCUAGGCAUCUCAAGGUUGAGAGUUCGAGCCUCUCCGCGGGCG